rnacentral:misc_RNA from 1 species
GAUGAAGAACGCAGCGAAAUGCGAUAAGUAAUGUGAAUUGCAGAAUUCAGUGAAUCAUCGAAUCUUUGAACGCACAUUGCGCCCCUUGGUAUUCCGAGGGGCAUGCCUGUUCGAGCGUCAUUAUAACCCCUCAAGCUCAGCUUGGUGUUGGGGCCUGCUGCACUGGCAGCCCUUAAAAUCAGUGGCGGCGCCAUCUGGCUCUAAGCGUAGUAAUUCUUCUCUCUAUGGAGUCCUGGUGGAUGCUUGCCAUCAACCCCCAAUUUUUCUAUGGUUGACCUCGGAUCAGGUAGGGAUACCCGCUGAACUUAAGCAUAUCAAUAAGCGGAGGA